CACCAACCACCCCACAUUCUGAGAUUUGUUGAGGAGAACACUGCCUCCCCAACACGUGGUGUUUAGAAGACUCGUGAAGUCAGGACCUGCCUCUAUGACUUAAGAGCUGCUGCAUAGAUCCCUAUGCUGUGAGCAUCUGUCCAGCCCAGUGCUCCCACCAAGCCUUACAGACACUACCCUGCCUCCCAGACCACAGAAUUACUGUCAGGGAAAAGGGCAAUGGAGCCAUUUGCCUGAUUUUGGCAUUUGAUUGGAGAUGGGAGUGGGGUGUCUCUUUACUGGGUCCUCCCUCUACUUGGGGGCUAGGGCUGCUCAGCGAGGGGCAUGGGAGUCCCAGGGAGAGUGAAGGUGGCAGGCUGCAGAAUGGCUGGUAGACAGCCGCUAGAGUCUGGUGUUCCCUGAACUCAGGUCCUAUGAAGUAGCACCUCAGCUCCCUUUCUAAACGUAAAAGUCCUCCUUGCCCCGACUUCAGCCACACCCCAAUUCACCUGGACCACCGUGUAUCCUCUGCUGCCGCAGAAGGGGUCUUGCGGGUCUCCUCUGGGAUUGGCUGCAUCAGGCUAGAGCGCUGGGAUGGCAUGGGCACCGCUGUGUACCGUGCCCUCCCACCUCAGACCUAGGACAACCCACAGGGCAGCACCGCCCAAGUCCACGUGUCAGUCCCAGUGCUUCCGUCUAACUCUCCCAGGACGUGUUGCCCCCGGAAUUGAGUCCCCGCCCCACUGAUGUCCCGGGAGGCAGGGCCAGGGACCUUCGAGCAACUAGAGGCUUACCACUGGGACUUCCUGCUGGGGAAGAGAAAUCCCUGGGGGUUUUGUGGCCCGAGACCCGCCAGAAAUAACUUUCUUGUCAGGAAAGUGAGCAGGUGAGCAGUGUGUAUGAGUCUCCGUUGGUUCUACCCCCUCCCCCGCUCCGUGGGUGGGUGGAGGGGAGUGACAGAGUGCUCACAGGGUUGUGUUCUAGUCUAGUAAAUAUGUAAAGAUAACUUUAAGGCAGUCAAUUUUUUAAAAUGGAUCUCUUGGAGAACUGGGUUGGUAAGAGAACUGUAACACAGGUGCAAAGGGCAGCGAAGGUGGUCACUGAUGUUGAAAUCCUGGGCAAAAGUGUUCUGAGCACUGACCACAGACUAGGCUCUAGUUGGAUCUCAGCCACACUUCAUGGAAGGCUUCUGAGGCUCCUUGAGGUACUGCCUGCCUCAUUCCUCCUGUAUUCCCAAUUAUUCUAAACAAAUGCCUCCCCCACACAGCUGCAGGCCAACUGGGACACACCCACUAAAGGCUUCACACUGCACUUAGAAUCUCAACAGUUUCCACCCUCCAGAGAAUGCCCUCUGAGCCUUCAACUGCCCAGCAGACAACAGGUCUUUAUUUAUGGUCAUACACACUUGUACUAAAAUAUUAGAACCUGAAGCUAGGGUAUAGCUCAGUUGUUAAGCGUGUGUUCAACGUGUGCAAGGUUCUGAACUCAAUCCCCAGUUCUGGAAAAAAAACAAUCUGGACCUAAAAGCCAGGUCAGUCUUCCAUCCACAUCAGCUAUCCUGUAGGACACAAAGAUGACGGCAGAGAAAGGCUUGCUUCCCUAGUGACCCAGGGACUGCCCUUAAGUAUAUGGUACUGACAAUCACUAUAAUGUGCAGCUCUUCAGAAACUAGGAAAGAUCCAGAAUCACACAGCAGGAAACCUUCAGCGUUUCUGGGAGCAGGUGGACAAACGUAGAGAAGGGAUGUGACCUUAAGUAGGCUGGGUGGAGGAACCUGCAAGACACUUGAGGUCAGCAGGAGCAUACCACACAAGGUGUUGGGUAUACAUCUCAGGCCAGAGACUCACAGCAGGUGGAGAGGUGCUACACUGCCAGAGUUGAGAAGGCUGAGGUCAGGGGUUUGGGGGGGGCAUUCCUCCCCAGGCUCCCAGUCACUAAAGCAGAAGGGAUGGGCACAGCCACAGUUGCCUGAAAGAGGAUCACAUAUGGUUGGGAGGUGACCAUCACAAGCUGUUGGCAGUAGCUGGGGUAGACAUUCUCUAGGCUUCUAGUUGAUACUUGUGAGCUGCCCCACACCCAACUGACAAAACCAUCCUUGCACUUCAAGAUGGGAAAUUUGAUAUGGAAACAUUACAGAGUCAACGUCUGGCAGGGGGGCCACUUUCUUGUGCUGACUGACUCACUUGCUUAUAGUCAUCUUGACUGCUCAAACUGAAUAACUAGAUUUUACUCCACUGUUACUGACGAGCAACUGUGAGAAGUGAGACUUGAGGAGCCCAGAUUGUAGUGUUGGAUGUCUGUAGCAGUUAGGGCCAGACUGGGCUACACAGUAAGACCCUGCCUGAAAAGAAGAGAGAUUUCUGUACUGAACAUCAUUUGCAUCCACCUUCUAAGCCAAAUGUGUACACUGUAGAGAAAAAGUUCAAGUAGCCAUGUCUGAGUCCACAGGAAGCCAUAGAGUGGACCUCACGAUGACCGAAGAUGCUCCUGUAUGGCCAGUUUUAUUCACAAAACAAUCCCUGGGGCUCUGGAACAGUUCAUUCUUUUUUUUGGAUGCUGGUACCAUCAGCUGAACCUUGUAAACACCCCAAAUGCUGAGAAACACUGUCACCCUCAGCCAGCAGUAUCCCUCACUUGCUAUACCAGAGUUCUGGGUGACAGGAUAGCCUGUUUUACUUUUGAGAACCAUGCUGGAGGGGUUGUCAGGCAUCUGACCUACAAGAAGGAUAAUUCCUGUGUAUGCAUGCACAUGGGUGAGAUGUGUUUAUAGGAAGGGGGAAGUCAGAGCCAUUUAGAGACUGACUUCCAGGCACUGCAGGUCCCACCUCUGAGGUCUGGCAGUCAUGCAUGGCAGAGUAGAUUCAAGAGAUGAUCAGUCACAUGAAGGAAAAGCAACUACACUGUAGUAGCCACCUUCCAAAAAUCUCCCAAUCCAGAGUCUCCACCAGACUUUCAGAAAGGCCAGGCAAGAGAACGUUUAUCAGGACCUGUAAGAAGGUACUUCCUUGAAAAGUCACAUGUGAGGAGCUGAUUAAGAGCCCUCGUUCUUGCCAGGCGUUCUUGCCAGGCGUGGUGGCGCACACCUUUAAUCCCAGCACUAGGGAGGCAGAGGCAGGUGGAUUUCUGAGUUCAAGGCCAGCCUGGUCUACAAAGUGAGUUCCAGGAUAGCCAGGGCUACACAGAGAACCUCCCCCCCCCCCAAAAAAAAGAGCCCUCGUUCUUACAGAGGCGUUUGAUUUCUCGAUAAUUCAAGUUCCAAGGGAUCUGAUGCCCCCUCUUGACCUUUGUGGGCGCCAGACACACAUAGGAAACAUGGAUAUACAUUCAGGCAGAACACGCAUACGGGUAAAUAUAAAAAAAUCUUGAAAAACAAAAGUCACAGACAGGAAGCACCCAGUAGUCACAUCUCAUGGUUACCGUUGGGUACAAGCAGUUCUGCAGUUUUCUUCUGUUAGUGUUAUACUGGACAGUAAUCUGACAUAGAUGUAGGGGGCAUGAAUGAGCUGCAGACAGAGCAGACUACUAUAGUCAUACCUGCCAUGACACCACACAUUCCUGCCCCACCAGUCCACCAGAUUCAUAUGUAACCCCAUCAAUGGGUUUACUGUCCAGGCCUUAAUACCACUAUAGCCAUUCUUGGCUUCUGGAACAGACUAUCUCAGGGCACAUUACCCAGUGCAUAGACGUGUGUUAGAGUCUGCAAUGGGAAGUAACAUGGGGCAAUCACAUUUUUUUUUCUUUCAUGUAAAUAUAAAAGUCUCAAGUCGGAUGGCAUUCCAAAAUUGAGGGAACCCAUUUAUGAUAGGCAGAUGGUACCUCAAGCCUCUCAGACUCAACAUGCAAGAGCUCACACUCGAGCACAGCAGAGGUCUCUACCACUGGACGUUUAGCAUUACCCACUGGAAGUGUGAGGGAAGAGUGAGUGAUGGUGAAGAAUGCCAUGUCAUGGCACUGCCACAAGGCUCAGGGAUGACAAGGCCCUACCUACGUGCAAUCACGACCCACCACACAGUGCGCGACACUCCCAGAGUGUGCUGCUUGGCUUCCUGGGAGGCUUCGUCUCACUGUAUUUCCUUCAGACCUGAGAAAAUGGCAAUGGAGACGUCCAGUGUGGGAGCUGCCGCAUACUGCGCAGGGUCCCCACAGUCAUCACAUCCUGGGGCCCAGGACGGCUGCAGCUGCCAGCUGGUGUGGACUGGCUCUAUGCUGUGGCACUGCUGGCGUGGAAACAGAGCAAAGUCAACAACACGCAGUUACACCUUCCCACUCUUCCAGCUCUAAUACACUGAGAAGCUGGUCAGUAA